rnacentral:rRNA from 1 species
UACAGAGGGUGCGAGCGUUAAUCGGAAUUACUGGGCGUAAAGCGCACGUAGGUGGCGACGUAAGUCGGGUGUGAAAGCCCCGGGCUCAACCUGGGAAUUGCAUUCGAGACUGCAUUGCUGGAGUACGGAAGAGGAAGGCGGAAUUCCCGGUGUAGCGGUGAAAUGCGUAGAUAUCUGGAGGAACACCGGUGGCGAAGGCGGCUUUCUGGACAAAUACCGACGCUGAGGCACGAAAGCUAGGGGAGCAAACAGG